CAGAGUAGAAACAGCGCGUUAAGUGCCGGCGGAUGGGAAGUGGCCGCCGGACGAAGCUAUUAGGGCGCGGUGCUGUUUCGCAUCCGCUGU
rnacentral:ncRNA from 1 species